AGAGAGAUAGAGCGUGGAGCUCUGACACCAUCACACUGUAGGGGGAAAGACAGGGUCUCAAGUGGCUGGACAGCCCUGUAGGAACAGGCCCCAGGGAUACUUGGCCUAGCAAGCAUUGCUUUAAGAAGGGGCGUAGCACCCCUGGAAGGUUGUUGGUACUUGAGAACCCAGGAAGAACAAGCUUACUUUGGUAUGGGCCUCAACAUUAAACCUCUUUGUAGCCUUUCCUUCUCUGACUGAAUGGUGCUGGUUGCAGGGGCCGAACAGAGUUGCCUCUGCUUGCUCUUGUAUGACGACGCAGGUUCUCCUCCUCAUUUCUACGACUCCUCCUCCUGCCAAUGCCACAUGGCAGAGUGACCACAGAAUGUCUGUGAAUACAUCGGUGAGCGUCUACUCGCCAAAUAAUUGCUGUUUCUCCAUUGGUGAUCGCCCCACGAGCCAUCCCGAACGUCUCUCCACACGGAAAUGGCUUAGCAGUAUCUAUCCGAGCUGUUUCGCACCCACCUUGUCUAGGUAGUGAGAAAGAGGUCCAGACCACAGUGGUCCACGCUGUCUUAGUACCUGACAUCACUCAGAACAUGAAAGGCUAGAUCUACGAUUCUCAAAACCAAUGAACUGCAGUCCUCAUAUCCAGACCAUCAGGUAAACAUUGCCUACAAAUAAAUCAACUUUAUAACAACCUUCAGGGUCAUCAUAAAAAUACAAAAUGUUGACUCUUUGAAGAAAGAAAGUAUUGAGAGAGAGAGAGAGAGAGAGAGAGAGAGAGAGAGAGAGAAAGAGGUGUCUCACAUAGCCUAGGCUUGCCUCAAACUCAUUGUGCAUCUACAGACGCUGGUUUUAUAUGAUGCUAGAAGUUGAACCCAGGGCUUCACCCCUGCUGUGGGAAUACUAUCAACCAAGCUUCAUUCCGAGCUCUGAAGUUCUCAUUGAUGAGAACUCGUACUUUGGAGGGUACAAGCUGUAUAUGACUGGGCAUGGAAUUCUCUUUGUAUAACCACUUUGGCUGAUUGUUUGAGACAGGGUCUCACUCUGUAGUCUUGGCUGACCCAGAACUUGCUACGUAGACCAACUAAGCUGUCCUGGAACUCAUAGUGAUUACAAGGCCUGCCUCUGCCUCCCAAGUACUGAAUUAUUUUAUUUUAUUUUAUUUUGAGUUUGAUUCCUGUUAAAUCAAAAUUGACUCCUCUUUUCAUUUUAUGGAUCUUUUGUCUGCAUGUCUGUCUGUGCACCUUGUUCAUGCCCGAUAUUCACAGGAGUCAAAAGAAGGCGUCGAGAUGCCCUGGAACUGGAGUUAUGGAGGACAAUUACGAGCCACCAUGUGGUUGCUGAAAAUUAAUCUCCGAUCCUCUGGAAGAGCAGCCAGUGCUCUUAACUGCGAAGCUGCCUCUUCAUCCCCUAAUUCUACUCUUGAGAGUAUAUUUAUAUAUUAGUCUUCAGACUAAUCUUCUAAAAAUCUACUUUAAAAAAAAAAUCAAAACAAAGAACAACACAAAACCCUAACCCCCUAAGCGAUGGGCCUAGAAAGUGCCCUUUUGCGGAUGUUAUACCCCGUAGGAUCAAAUGUCCAGCAUGCCCUGGCUCCAUGGAAUGGCUCGCUGUUCUCCAGAUGGAUUGCACAAUGACCGGCCUGGCUCAUAGCCCUCACAACACUCUCCCCCAUAACUAGGGCAACAUGACUUCCGUUUGUUGACUGGUCGCUAGGUCCAGGCCCUGGGAGGGAUUGUAAGGGCUAGCAGCUUGGAUUACUUAGUCUCAGCCGGCCUGGUUGCUAGGUCUGUUCUAGUCUUUGUGCUCUCUUGGCACAGUGGUCUAGGCCUUCCCUGGUGAGGACACAGAUGACCCUUUUUAGCCUGCCUGGUCUUGAAAUCCACAAAGGGAUAAAUACGGAACCUCCCCCCAUGACAUACACACCUAUGUAUUCACCAACCACAGUUACCAAACACCUCUUGUGUGUGACAUAGCAAACCCGGGUCAAAGCAAUAUGAAGGGAAAAACUUUUACCAGGGAGGUCCGGUAAUACCUGGAGCCCAACUCCAAAGGGCUCUCAGGCAGAAAGGUCGCCCUAUCUCAGAUCUAUCUCUCCAUCAGCCAGGCUGUACAAUGAAGGUGACCUACAGCAGGGCUGUGGUCAACCUGUCGGGCCUCAGGCAAGAAAAAUUUCUCGGUAUUAUAAACCUUGGGAUUUGGAGACGUAUUUAUCCUUACAGCAGCGACAAACCCAAUUUACCAAUAAAUCUUCAUCCCUGGGAAGAAGAGAAAUGUGAAUGACCAGAGCAACCCUCACUAACUUGUGGAGUAACAGAUUCUAGGAUGCAGCCUAGACCAGAGUUCUUAGAAGAGAAAAACUGAUGUUAGAAGCAAGGAUGGUCUAAUCCAUCAUGAGACCGAGAGACUCCACAGCCAGCAGAGCACAAAGACUCAAAAGAAGCUUCUCUAUGACAGCCUUGGGAGAGAGUUUGUGACUGUGCGGAUAAUUAGCUUCAGACUUCUGGAUUAUGGACUGUUUCAGAAUAAAGUUCUGUUGGGCUGAGCUGCCCAGAUCAUAA